AAAGUGGAAGCUACUAGAUUUACCGUUCUCAACAUCCUGCAAGUGGAAAAUUUACAUCAUAUUAAUUUUUUAGCGGAGAGCAUCUUUUGAAAUGAUUGUCUACGAAGGUUUUAUCUUCUUUUUAUUCUCGAUUGUUCUCAUUGGAACAUCAGAUGGAGCGAGAGGAAUACGUGCAGCUGAUCCAUUCCAUAAUCGCAGUGAGCAGUUUAAACCCCUUGAUGAAAAAUCUUGCAAAAAUUUGGAUGCUUGCCUUCCAAAAGGGCGCAUUCCCAAGAUAUUUUGCUGG